GAUGAACGCUGGCGGCGUGCCUAAUACAUGCAAGUCGAGCGAACAGAUAAGGAGCUUGCUCCUUUGACGUUAGCGGCGGACGGGUGAGUAACACGUGGGUAACCUACCUAUAAGACUGGGAUAACUUCGGGAAACCGGAGCUAAUACCGGAUAAUAUUUCGAAUCGCAUGGUUCGAUAGUGAAAGAUGGUUUUGCUAUCACUUAUAGAUGGACCCGCGCCGUAUUAGCUAGUUGGUAAGGUAACGGCUUACCAAGGCGACGAUACGUAGCCGACCUGAGAGGGGGAUCGGCCACACUGGAACUGAGACACGGUCCAGACUCCUACGGGAGGCAGCAGUAGGGAAUCUUCCGCAAUGGGCGAAAGCCUGACGGAGCAACGCCGCGUGAGUGAUGAAGGUCUUCGGAUCGUAAAACUCUGUUAUUAGGGAAGAACAUACGUGUAAGUAACUGUGCACGUCUUGACGGUACCUAAUCAGAAAGCCACGGCUAACUACGUGCCAGCAGCCGCCGUAA
rnacentral:rRNA from 1 species